rnacentral:tRNA from 1 species
GCCCUGGUGGUUUAGUCAGUUAAGCGUCUGACUUUGGCUCAGGUCACGAUCUCGCAAUUCGUGGGUUCGAGCCCCACGUUGGGCU